rnacentral:rRNA from 1 species
AGUGAACGCUGGCGGCGUGCCUAAUACAUGCAAGUCGAACGCUUCACUUCGGUGAAGAGUGGCGAACGGGUGAGUAAUACAUAAGUAACCUGGCAUCUACAGGGGGAUAACUGAUGGAAACGUCAGCUAAGACCGCAUAGGUGUAGAGAUCGCAUGAACUCUAUAUGAAAAGUGCUACGGGACUGGUAGAUGAUGGACUUAUGGCGCAUUAGCUGGUUGGUAGGGUAACGGCCUACCAAGGCGACGAUGCGUAGCCGACCUGAGAGGGUGACCGGCCACACUGGGACUGAGACACGGCCCAGACUCCUACGGGAGGCAGCAGUAGGGAAUUUUCGGCAAUGGGGGAAACCCUGACCGAGCAACGCCGCGUGAAGGAAGAAGUAAUUCGUUAUGUAAACUUCUGUCAUAGAGGAAGAACGGUGGAUAUAGGGAAUGAUAUCCAAGUGACGGUACUCUAUAAGAAAGCCACGGCUAACUACGUGCCAGCCGCCGCUGUAA